GUCCACGCCGUAAACGAUGCGCACAAGGUUCAUUGGCCUCUGACGGCACGUGGGCCGAAACAAAAGUGUUAAGUGCGCCGCCUGGGGAGUACGGCCGCAAGGCUAAAACUCAAAGGAAUUGACGGGGGCUCACACAAGCGGUGGAGCAUGUGGCUUAAUUCGAAGCAACGCGAAGAACCUUACCCGGGUUUGACAUGCAUGGAUUAGCUCCGUGAAAGCGGAGUGACGCGGCUUGCCGUGGAACAUGCACAGGUGCUGCAUGGCUGUCGU
rnacentral:rRNA from 1 species